AAAUAUGAACUUCUUAAGCAUAAACAGUGAAGCAUAGGAAACAGUAAUUAUACGCAACGCCUCUUUCUCCUUCAGGACAGAGUCAACAGACUGUGAUCUUGACAUCCGCAAUGCCGGACAUCCAGCGACAUAAUCCUACCUCGAUUGCAACAUAGGGAAACGAUAGUUGCAAACGACUAUCACCGAUCAAGCGUACCUGACAACAACAACGUAAGCUACAUAGUGCACACAAGUCGCACCUAGUAACACACCAAGCACAACUCCGACACUUCCAACUACCAGCGGCGCUUCCCUUGGAGACGCCGCACUGUGUCACACUGCGGGAAAGCAUUGUCCAUGGAUCGCAAUUAUUCUCUGCACGCUUUCAGUGACAGCGCCUAACGGAACGUUGGCCAUGAGAAAGCUUGCACGAGCGGAGGUCCUACCGAUGGAUGCUAAGCCAAGCCAUUAGAGACUGCCAACUAAUCGCCUAGAGCUCAGAUUUCGAAGUCAGGAAGAACAGAACUGAACAGAACAGAACAGACUGGUGGAGGAGAGAGAGCUAGGACGGGUCCUCG
rnacentral:lncRNA from 1 species